UGUUAUUUGGUUUACAUUGGAGUGAAGUUUUUGAAAUGGAAUUUCCAAAACCAGUAUACUCCAUCAAAACAUCAACACCUAUGACUCUUAAACAAAUAUUGGAUAAACAUGUACAACUCUUUGAUGGAAAACUAGGAAAAGUUAACAAUUAUUACGUAAACAUACAUGUCAAACCAGAAGCUGAACCGAUCCACCUUCCUGCACGGCCUAUAAAAUUCAGCAUGAAAAAGAAUAUAGAAAGGGAGUUAGAUCGUCUGAUCUCAGAAGGGAUUGUGGAAAAAGUAGAUCCUAAUGUUACACCUAUUGAAUGGGCUACACCCACAGUUAACAUUUUGAAAUCUACAGGGGAAGUUAGGAUAUGUGGAGACUACAGAACUACACUUAAUCCAGUACUUAUUAAACAUCUACACCCAGUUCCAAUUUUCGAUCAACUACGCCAAAAUCUCGCAAACGGUAAAUUAUUUUCAAAAAUAGACCUUAAAGACGCAUACUUACAAUUUGAAAUAGCACCAGAUUCGAAAAAGUACUUGACGUUGUCAACCCAUAAAGGGUAUUUCCAAUACAAUAGAAUGCCUUUUGGAAUAUCGACUGCUCCUUCAAUUUUUCAACAUUUUCUGGAUCAAUUGCUUGGCGAUAUCACCAAUGUAGCUGUAUAUUUUGACGACAUAGCUAUAGCAGGGAAAGAUCUUUCAGAACAUUUACAAACUUUAUCUAUUGUAUUCGAUCGCUUACAAAACGCUGGCCUAAAAGUUAACUUAAAGAAAUGUAAUUUCUUACAGAAUCAGAUUGAAUACCUAGGUCACAUAAUAGAUAAACAUGGCAUCCACCCAACCAAAUCUAAAAUUGAUGCCAUAACUAAGGCCCCAGCACCGUGUAAUGCAAAAGAACUACGAUCAUUUUUAGGACUAGUUAACUUUUACGAACGGUUUGUACCACAUCUUCACGGGAUUUGUUCGGAUCUUCACGAUCUAACUAGUGAAAAAAAUAGAUGGCGUUGGACUGAUCAUGAAAACAGAAUAUUUGAAGAUACAAAGAAAUGCAUAGCUUCUUCACAACCAUUAAUUGCAUUUGACGAGAAACGUCCCCUUUAUUUAGCAUGUGACGCUUCCGAAAAGGGAUUGGGUGCAGUAUUAUUCCACAAGGACUCGAACAUAGAACAACCAAUUGCUUUUGCUUCAAGGAAAUUACGACCAGCGGAAAUGAAAUAUUCCGUUAUUGAUCGUGAAGCUUUAGCAAUAGUAUUUGGUAUAAAAAAAUUUGAUCAGUACUUGAGAGGAACGAAAUUUAAUCUAGUUACGGACCAUAAGCCUCUUAUACAUAUUAUGGGUGCACACCGCAACCUUCCUAAACUAGCCAAUAACCGAUUGGUAAGAUGGGCCCUAGUAGUGGGAAGUUAUCAAUAUGACAUUUACUACAGGAAAGGUGAAAAUAACACAUUAGCUGAUUGCCUUUCCAGAUUACCAAACCCUGAAACUGAACCUUCCGAGACAGAAGGGCUUGUACAUAAAAUAGAUCUACGUCUUUUGAGCACUCGAAUGACUGACCUUAACCUAUCAGAACAGUUACUUAUGAAUACAACUUCAAAGGAUCAUAUACUCACAAAAGUUUGUCAAAAUUUAAAAACCGGCUGGAGAGAAUCAGAAUACAAUCCAGAAAUGAAACCAUUCUACAGAAACCGGACUGAAUUAUCUGUUGAGAAUAAGAUACUCAUGAGGCAAGGACGCAUCGUUAUACCUACAGCACUACGAAAAGCCAUUCUUACAUACCUUCAUCGAGGACAUCCUGGCAUUUCUGCUAUGAAAGCACUUUCACGUUACUAUGUUUGGUGGCCUAACCUUGACGAAGACAUAGAAUUAUUUGUCAAGAAAUGUACCAGAUGCCAACAGAACCGCUCUUGUAAUCCUGAACUUCCUGUAUUUUCCUGGUCCAUACCAGAAGAAGUAUGGGAGAGAAUCCAUAUCGACUUUGCUGGACCGUUCGAAGGAUCGUAUUGGUUGGUAUUGUGCGACGCUCUCUCCAAAUGGGUGGAAAUACGACCGAUGAAACACAUCAACACCAGAUCACUUUGUCUUACAUUAGAUAACAUAUUUUGUACAUUUGGCUUACCAAAAAUGAUUAUAUCCGAUAAUGGACCUCAAUUUACAUCUUAUGAAUUUAAAGAAUAUUGCACAAAACAAUCUAUUUUACAUGUCACAUCAUCUCCAUAUCAUCCUCGGACAAAUGGGCUGGCAGAACGUUUAGUCAGAACAUUCAAAAAUAGAAUGGCAUCGGUAGACAACACAAAUCUCGAGCGCCGACUAUUAGAAUUUUUGUUUACAUACAGAAACACUCCGCACUCGUCCACUGGUAAAUCUCCAGCUGAGAUGAUGUUUGGACGACAAUUGAAUUGCAUACUUUCCAACAUUCGGCCAGACAAAAGAAGAUUAAUGCAGUAUUUACAAGUAAAAGAAAACAUUCGUACCACAUCACCGAGUUACCGACCAAGUGACCAAGUAUAUAUUAAAACACGCAAUGAUAAAAUAUGGGAACCAGCGGUAAUUACAUCCCGAAAACAUAAAUAUUCAUAUAUUGUUUCAACACCAGGAGGACUAGAAAAACGAAGACACGCUGAUCACAUCAGGCCACGCGAGUCCUCCACCUCAGAAACCCCGAGGAAUGAAAGGGCGCAUUCUUCUAUGCUGCCGGCGACUGCUUCUCCAGACAUUGGAAUGGAAACAACAAUUAACGAAAGGCUAACUAAAAACAAGAAUUCAGCAGCAGUACCAUUACCUACACCGCAGUCACCUACAAAUGUACAAAUUUCUCCAAAUUCACCUUCACAGCAUUCGAAGUUAUACUCCUCACCUGCUCCGGUCUACACUCCUGUGCCAUUUGCUCCGCGUCGAAGUAAUCGACGUAUACAGGCACCCCGCCGUCUGAUCAACGAGAUGUAGAUGGGGAGGAAUGUUGUAACCUUCUUUUCCAUAUUCCAUUAUUUGAAAUAUACUUCGAACACAUUGUCAUUUUUACCAUCUAUCAUUAUUAUAUUUUAUGCUAUGUCUUGAAAACAUUGUUUUAUUAUAUUUAUAAUAACUUCUAGCGUGUGUGACUUACUUGCACAUACAUUUUUUUUUGUUAAAUAAAAAUUUCUUCAGCAUUAAACGUAUAAAUGUGGAGACUUAUUAACAGUUCGACUUCUGUGCACAAGUAUGAGAAAAUGAAAUCAAGUCGAUGACUAUGGCAUUUCGGGUUCUUCCAAAACGGCUAUUGAGUUUUUAGUGUAUUUCCACUUUUUGUGAAUUAUUGAAGCUCAUUUAAUUCAAUUUUCAUACAACAAAGAGAAAUUCGACCAUUGUUACAAAAUAGUUGCUAGUAUAGCUUACAUUCCCUCUGCGUAUUCAUUCAUAGACGAAACAAAAAGUUACCGCAUGUCAAAGAAUUUACAAAUAAUCAUAAGAUUCAUAAGUAAUCUGUGCAAAGAAUAAAAACAGCACUCCGGAUUUACUAAAUUUGUUUUAAAUUACUUUCAAAAUGUAUUUCCAAUUGUGUUUCCUGUUAUUCACAAUUCUUGGUAUAAGCAAUGUGGAAGCAUCUACAGGUUACGACUUUGGUGACUUUUUGGCUACUGUUUUAGGUAUCGGUAUAGCCGUUGUAGGAAUUUUAGCCUGUUUGGGUAAUUACGCACGGCAAAGGGCGAGAAACGAGUUUAUAUAGGUUCAUCAAAACUUGCCAUCUUGUUUCAGCACACGCAAGUCUAGAAUAAAUGAAUAUGGAAAAAAAUAUCUCAUUCCAUCCCAUAUACCUGUCAUCUAUCCAAGAAACUUCCAAGCUAUAUAGAAUAAGUUAAAAGUACUAAUUUACUGUUUCGUUAUUAUAUAAAUGUAAUGAAUAUUAACUAAUAAUACAUUUAUUACUAAAUUA